GAUGAAGAACGCAGCGAAAUGCGAUAAGUAAUGUGAAUUGCAGAAUUCAGUGAAUCAUCGAAUCUUUGAACGCACAUUGCGCCCGCCAGUAUUCUGGCGGGCAUGCCUGUCUGAGCGUCAUUUCAACCCUCAUGCCCCUAGGGCGUGGUGUUGGGGAUCGGCCAAAGCCCGCGAGGGACGGCCGGCCCCUAAAUCUAGUGGCGGACCCGUCGUGGCCUCCUCUGCGAAGUAGUGAUAUUCCGCAUCGGAGAGCGAUGAGCCCCUGCCGUUAAACCCCCAACUUUCCAAAGUUGACCUCAGAUCAGGUAGGAAUACCCGCUGAACUUAAGCAUAUCAAUAAGCGGAGGA
rnacentral:misc_RNA from 1 species